AAACAACCUCGAAGGUUUUAUGCCAAUUACUAUUGCCAACCUAUCAGAAGAGCUCCACUUGAUUACACUAGGUAUGAACAAAAUAGCUGGGACCAUACCUGACGGCUUAGGCAAGUUUCAAAAGCUGACGAAGUUCUUCCUGUCAGAUAGCCUCUUCACAGGCACCUUGCCUCUGGAUAUUGGCCAGAUUCCUAGCCUCCAGUAUCUUGACCUAUCCCAUAGUCAAUUUUAUGGUCAGAUUCCACAGUCAUUAGGUAAUAUCACACAGUUAAGCAGCCUCUCUCUAUCUAAUAACUUUCUGGAAGGCACAAUCCAGCAAGCCUUGGUAAUCUCACAAAUCUUGGAUCUCUGGAUCUUUCUGGUAACUCCUUGAGUGGGGAAAUCCCACAGGAAAUACUUCGUAUUCCCUCUCUGACCCUACUUCUCAACCUCUCUAACAACGCUCUAACUGGCUCCAUUCCAACACAGAUUGGGCACUUGAACAGCCUCGUCGGAAUUGACAUAUCAAUGAACAGGCUAUCUGGUGAAAUCCCAGAUGCCCUCGGCAGUUGCGUCCUACUGAAUUCCCUAUACUUGCGAGCAAACCUAUUGCAAGGGAUAAUCCCGAAAGCUUUCUCUUCUUUGAGAGGCCUUGGAAAGUUGGAUCUUUCUAGCAACAACUUAGUAGGACCCGUACCAGAGUUCCUUGAGAGCUUCGAGCUUCUAACAUAUCUCAACCUCUCCUUCAAUAACCUAUCUGGCCCUGUGCCGAAUACAGGUAUCUUUCGCAGUGCCACUAUAUUGUCGCUCACAGGCAAUGACAUGCUGUGUGGAGGUCCUCCAUUCUUGCAACUCUCUUCAUGCCCAUCUAUAGGUUCACACCAGGCUUCGCAGUAUCAGCGUCGUGUCAUACUCUUUUGUAUGGUUGGAACCUUGAUGUUGUUCAUGUGCUCCCUGACUGCAUGCUACUUUAUGAAGACAAGAACCAAAACAAAUACUGUUCAUCAAGAAACCGGAUUUCACAAUGAGAAGCAUGAGAGGAUAUCCUAUGCUGAGAUAGAUGCAGCAACGAAUUCAUUCUCACCGGCAAAUUUGAUUGGCUCUGGAACUUUUGGCAACGUGUACAUUGGAACUCUAAGUCUUGAUGAUAGUUUAUGUACUGUAGCAGUCAAAGUUCUCAAUCUUGGCAAACAGGGAGCUAAUAGAAGUUUCUUGAGGGAGUGUGAAGCCCUAAGGAAGAUCCGACACCGGAAACUUGUCAAGGUGAUCACUGUGUGUAGCAGUUUGGACCAUAAUGGUGAUGAGUUCAAGGCACUUGUCUUAAAAUUUAUCUGCAAUGGAAAUUUAGACGAGUGGCUGCACCCAAACACAAUGACUAAUGGUAUGACCAUUAGAAGGCUAAGUUUGAUGGAAAGGCUAUGCAUUGCACUUGAUGUUGCUGAGGCAUUAGAAUACCUUCACCAUCAAAUUGAGCCAUCCAUAGUUCACUGUGACAUCAAACCAUGCAACAUCCUUCUAGAUGAUGACAUUGGUGCGCAUGUUACUGACUUUGGUCUAGCAAAGAUAAUGUGUACUGAUGCAUCCAAGCAAAGUGGUACUGGAGCCGCAAGCAGUUCAUUUGUGAUUAAAGGCACGAUUGGAUACGUCGCACCAGGUCAGCAAUAUUGCUUGAAUUUGAGUUGAACUAUAUAUUAAUUGCUAAUGCUUCUCGAUAAUUUUUCCAUCUUAAAUUUUUUAUUUUUCCUGCUAAUAUUAUUUCUUCGAUAAAUAUACAAUCUGGUUAGUGUGUAUUAUUUUGCCAAAUUCAAUUAAAGAGUGACAUCACCGAUUCUAUGUCUACUCAUGUAUGUAGCCAACAUUAACUUUCAUUUGUAUGUCUAUCAGAGUACGGCUCGGGAUCUGAAACCUCCACAGCUGGUGACAUAUAUAGCUACGGGGUGUUACUAUUGGAAAUGUUUACUGGAAAAAGGCCAACUGACAGUUUCAUCAAUGGCGCCACCAGUCUUGUAGACUAUGUCAAAAUGGCCUAUCCUGAUAAGCUACUGGAAAUACUGGAUGCUACUGCAACCUACAGCGGAAGCACACAACAUAUCAUGGAUAUAUUCUUAUAUCCUAUGUUUAAGCUCGGGCUAGCUUGCUGCGAGGAUUCCCCGAGUCGCAGAAUGAAGAUGAACGGCGUAGUCAACGAAUUGAACUCCAUAAAGAAGGCAUGGGCCGCUCGUCCACCGGUUCAUGAGUUUCGAGCAUCCGCCUAAUCGGGCAAAGAAUGAAAGGUUAUGAUCAUCUCUAUGCUCCGCUGUUGUCACCAUGUGCCAUUUUGUGAUUGCAGAGGCCUGCUUGUGGUGAUUAUGAAGUCGCUGUUUACUUUAAUUUUCUGUCGUUUUAUGUUUCGUUGCCAUCUUGUUUUUAGAGUGUGCAAGAGAAUCUGUGUGUGAUUGUAUGAAAGUACAAGUAGUUUACUUACAGUCUUCAUAGAAAAUAAGUUUGGCCGCCAUUUUUCAUCCCAUAAAUGCUGUAUCUCAUUGCUCCUACUCGUAGCAGAUUUACAGCCACCCCUGCUGUUGCUACCCAGUGGCAAUGUGCCAAUGUGGUUAUGACAGACAGUUUGUGGCGAUAACAUCUCACUUCCCAUUUUACACUCAAUAUGUUCAAUCUUAGCACAUGUAACAGAAAUUUGUGUCCUUGUGUUAAAAAGCAGAGGUCGAUUACUUGCAAGCCUCAGAGAAAAUAAGCCCGGCAACCCUUUUUUGAGAGGAACGUUGUAGCAUUCCAUUAAACAGAGUUGCUGGAGAACUCGCCAGCACAAAUGUCAAUUACAAACUGAGGUAAAUGGUCAACCCAUACGUCAUGGUUGCCAUUCCCUAACGAAGCGUCUUGCGCACCUAAAACAUGAGCUACUGAAUUACAUGAUCGUGGAUAUACAGAGACAUUAUGCACAUCAUAUGCAACAUGUAAUAAGGCUUUAGUUUCUCUAAAAAUGGUCCCCAACGGAGAAAGAUCAUAAUGAUCAGAGAGGUGAUAGCUUGCUUCAGAAUUGAUGCAUCAGUUUCCAGCUCCACCUUGCAAUUAGAGGAAAAGAAGAUGUCAGAGUUUGGAAAAAUGGAACGCCUCGAAAUCUUUGUCCGUCAAAUCUCUUUAUCAAUCAGAGAACUCUGGAGGUCUUAGUAAUAUCGCUGCUGCUGAUUUAUGGAACUGCUCGGCACCGAAUAAACAGAAAGUUUUCUCUUGGCUUUGGCUCAGAGGAAGAAUUAAAGUGAGGACGGUACUUAAAAAACAACAGAUUCUUGCUACCGAUGAAUGCCCCUUCGGCUGCAAAACUAGUGAAUCGCCCACGCAUCUGGCCCUGGAUUGCUCACGUUCUCGUCUUGUCUUUCAAAUGUUGGGUAUUGAUGUUGUGGGGAUGGAACAGAUUGAUGACCUUCUUAUUCACGGAAAAACUCUUGUUGCUCAGAACAAGGUAGCUGCUUGGGAAGUGGUUUUUGUCGCUAUUCUUUGGAAUAUCUGCUCGCAAGAAACCGCAAGUCUUUGAUGAUCAAAUGAUCUCAGUGCCGAUGGUUUUGAGACAAUGUUCAGAAAUCUUGAAGCUUCGGUGCCAUCGCUUAAAAUCUAAAGAAAAGCUGGCUGCUCACGGAUGGUUGGAAGAUUGGCCUGACUAGCUUUGUUUCUGCUUCUCUUCUUCUUUUGCACUUUGCAUGUUCUUUGCUCCCCUCCCUAUAAUCUCUUUGACCAUUGCCCGGUCACUGUAAAUUGUGAUGUCUGGAACUAUUUUGGUUCCCCUUUUAUAAAAAUUUAGGUAGGGGCCUCCCAUCCCGACCUUGCUCAGAAAGCUCGCGGGCCCAGGAGGCAGGCGGCGAUCACCGAGGCUUUCUUCAACGAGCUUACCAAGGCGCAGCGCCCCCUACCGAAGUGGGACCGCCACACCGGCACGGCGUGGACGGCGUUCUUCGACGAGCGCCAUGCAUAGCAGUUGGCCCGCUACGAGGGCCCGUACACCGCUGCCGGGCCGCCACAACACCGCCGGCCGGCGACUCUGAUGGGGGGAGCCGGGCCGGACCUUGGACAGGGUGCUGGCUCACCUCGCCGCCGGGAACCAACCGCGGCUAGAGUACGCGCCGGCGGGACGUCACCGCUUCCUCCUCGACAACGCAUCCGGUGGCUCCUCCCCCGCCUCGGCUUCUUCCUCCUCGACGGCGGCACGAACGCCACCGUCUCUGGCCUCGUCAAAGACAAGCCCGGCUCCUCCCAUGAACGUUGGGCACCGUUGCUGCCAGGUGGCCACCUCCGACUCGGGCCAAAGCACCCCCAAACGGCCUAAAAAUGGGCCGCGUCCGUUCUUGCGGAAAAAAAAGAAACAAAAAAAACUCCCAUUCGCUCUGACCAAACAAAUGAUCCCGUUCCGUCUCCCUAGUUCCUUCUAACCAAACGAGAAACACACCAAAAUUCCUGUGUCCUUUACUCCUCUCGGCGUUCGGAGCUCGCCGGCGGAGCCUCGCUGUGUCGACCACCGCGAGGAGCUCCGCUAGGCGGGGGAGAAAGGUGCGUACAGUGAACCCCCAGAACUUCUGGAAUAUCUCCAUCUUGCCGCCUCUUCUUCGCGCGUGUACGUUCUUUGGAAUUGGAUGCACGUAAGGUGUUCGACCCUUGUCCUGGUCCUGUACGCGCGGUGGUUGUUUGCUAAUUGCCGCAUGCCAGCAAGGGUUGCUGACGCUGUAGAUCCAAGGGUCUCUGGCGCGAUUGAUUCCUAGAAAGCAAGUGCGAACUUAACUGAUCUUGCCGACAGUGCUCUCUGAGACAAACUAUGCAACUGCGACUGGAUGCUGUUAAAAGAAACUGACAAACGUCUUUCCUGCUCCUUCUGGGAAAUAGAUACUCAGUCUCUGGACAGGGCUACAUCCAAUUCUGAUAUCAACUCCUUUCAUGAUCAUCAUGAAUUUAUGAUCCUUAUCAUUUCAUUUGUCGACGUAACUUUUCUGAUUGGCGGGGUAUUUUUAGUCUUCGGUGACUUUUCUUGUUGAGCUGUUUGUCAUUUGUUUUUCCACAUGAACCUGUUUUUCUCUACGUCUGAUUUAUUGCCCUUUCCUGUAACAUCAUUGGAUAUUUGAACAUUUGAAGUAUUAUGUCACAUCUUCAACUACAUGGCACAGGAUAUCACACUAGUUGUUGUCACACCCCUUUUUUUUAUUACUUUUGAUAGAGAUAUUUGUCAUUACAAAAUGUAAAAGUUUGUUUUGUUUUGCAUGUCCUCACUUACAAAAGAGAAUUUAUACAUAUUACAAUAUGCCUUUGCUUGUCUCCUAAAAAUCACUAGGUCCAUAUUCAAUAUGAAAGCAUGACAAGCUUUUUUAAAGGAUAUAAAUCUGGAUAUAAAUUAAAGUUUAUAUCGGGUGGACAAGUGCUUUACAGCAAAGCUCAAACAGAUAAUUGAUUCCAUUUUUCAUGCUGUUAACAGCUAGGCAUGCCCUGUGAUGGAGAAAAUAUAGCAUCAGCACACGAUGUAGCAACAACCAUAUGUUCGAUAUUAGGCGACUUUCUUAUUGAACUGGUUACUUCAUAUAUGAACGUAAAAUUCCAUAUGAUCCUGUUUUUCUCUAACAUAUAAUUCCAUUGCGCUGUAACAAUCAUUGGAAUAUUUCAACAUUUGAAAUCAUGUUCUAUCUUUAAUUGCAUGUCACACAAGACAAAACAUGGUCAUUGUCACACGUUUUCUUCUGAUAGUCAUAUUAGUCAUCACAAAAUUAAUAACAAAGGACAAUCUCCAUCUUAUUUAAGACUUGGAAGGGAAAGAAUAGAAUAAUCGCCUCCACCUCCUUGCUCAACCAUGAAAAUCCAGAGGACACGGCAGCUCUUGAUCCUCCAUCUUCUCACUCUUAUCCUCCUUUUCCUCACAUCCAGCUCUCAACCUACCAACAAUGGAACUGCCAACAGUGGUGAUCUCUCGGUCCUCCUGUCAUUCAAAUCCUUCACCAGGGACCCUACGCACGCACUUUCCUCUUGGUCUUGGGACCAUGCUGGCAACAGUACCAGCACUAAGGUGCCUGGUUUCUGCAAAUGGAGGGGUGUGGCCUGCAGUGACCGCCGGCACCCCGGCCGUGUGACUGCCAUACGCCUGCAGGGCUUUGGCCUGGCCGGCACAAUCUUCCCGCAGCUCGGCAACCUGACCCAUCUUCGUGUCCUCAAUCUUUCAAUGAACAACCUGGAAGGUGACAUCCCAGGCAGCCUCAGUGGCUGUGCAGCACUUCGUGGCUUGGACCUGGGGGUGAACUAUCUCUCUGGUUCCAUGCCUUCUUCCAUGGGUCUCCUAUCAAAGCUCAUAUUUCUCAACGUCACUCAUAACAAUCUGACUGGUGAUAUUCCGAUGUCAUUCUCCAACCUAACAGCCCUCACAAAGCUUAGCUUGCAGAGCAACAAUUUUCAUGGCCAAAUUUCUAGAUGGUUGGGCAACCUGACAUCAUUGACACACUUAGACUUAACCAACAAUGGUUUCAGUGGCCACAUCUCUCCGGCUCUAGGUAAGAUGGCUAAUCUUAUUCGAUUUGAAAUCGAGGAUAACAAACUGGAAGGCCCUUUUCCUCCAUCCAUGUUCAAUAUUUCUUCCAUCACAGUCUUCAGCAUCGGCUUCAACCAGCUGUCAGGAUCUCUGCCGCUUGAUGUUGGCUUUAGGCUUCCCAAGCUAAUUGUUUUUGCCGCACAGGUGAACCAAUUUGAAGGAUCAAUACCAGCUUCCUUUUCAAAUGUAUCUGCACUUAAAUAUUUGCUUCUCCGCUCAAAUAGUUAUCAUGGUCCCAUUCCACGGGAUAUUGGCAUCCAAGGUCGUUUGAGGUCAUUUUCAGUAGGACACAAUGUACUUCAAACCACAGAGUCUAGGGAUUGGGAUUUUCUUACAUCAUUAACUAAUUGUAGCAACUUGGGAAUACUAGACUUUGAACAAAACAACCUCGAAGGUGUUAUGCCAGUUACUAUUUCCAACCUAUCAGCAGAGCUCCACUGGAUUACACUAGGUAGGAACAAAAUAGCUGGGACCAUACCUGACGGCUUAGGCAAGUUUCAAAAGCUGACGAAGCUCAUCCUGUCGGAUAGCCUCUUCACAGGCACCUUGCCUCUGGAUAUUGGCCAGAUUCCUAGCCUCCAGUAUCUUGACCUAUCCCAUAGUCAAUUUGAUGGUCAGAUUCCACAGUCGUUAGGUAACAUCACACAGUUGAGCAACCUCUCUCUAUCUAAUAACUUUCUGGAAGGCACAAUUCCAGCAAGCCUUGGUAAUCUGACAAAUCUUGGAUCUCUGGAUCUUUCUGGUAACUCCUUGAGUG
rnacentral:lncRNA from 1 species